rnacentral:rRNA from 1 species
UACGUAGGCAGCGAGCGUUGUUCGGAGUUACUGGGCGUAAAGGGUGUGUAGGCGGUUUUCUAAGUUUGGUGUGAAAUCUCCCGGCUCAACCGGGAGGGUGCGCCGAAAACUGGGAGACUAGAGUGCGGGAUGGGAGAGUAGAAUUCCUGGUGUAGCGGUGAAAUGCGUAGAGAUCCGGAGGAACACCAAAGGCGAAGGCAGUGUCCUGGGGAGUACCUGACGCUCAGGUGCGAAAGCCAGGGGAGCGAACGGG